AACCACCCUCUUCCCCAUUCUAUUACCUUGGCGACAUGGCUGAAGACCAAUUGAAUGUGUAUGUGUAGGUCUACUUAGGGACUCUCUGUCCUGUGCUUCUGUGCUCUGUGUCUAUCACUUUGUCAAGUGCCACACUGCCUUUAUUACUGGAGCUUUAGACUAAUUCCAAAAUCAGAUGGUAGCCAUCCCUCGCCCUAGUCACAGCCAUCUGGUUUCCUUCUACAUCUUGCUAUCUCAGUAAAGCUAAAGGAACAAGCUGAUCUGCUGGGAGCAAAUCAAUUUCUCAUUAUCCUUAAUGUGUGAAGAUGAGACUACUGACAGUGAUCACAGUCUUUGUCUACGGAUAGGGUUGAAAACUUGUGUUUACAUAACAGAAAAUGUUUUCAUAUAGAAGAGCCGGAAUAGGCAUACAUGGCUGUGGGAUGCUGUGUCUUAACGUGGAAGCUAAUUCCUCUCAACAAAUAAACUUAGCAUUUCUCAA